UACGUAGGGACCGAGCGUUGUCCGGAAUCAUUGGGCGUAAAGAGCGUGUAGGCGGCCACUUAAGUCCUGCGUGAAAUCUUGCGGCUCAACCGUAAGCGGUCGUGGGAAACUGGGUGGCUAGAGUGCGGGAGAGGAGAGUGGAAUUCCGUGGUGAGCGGUGGAAUGCGCAGAUAUCAGGAAGAACACCGGUGGCGAAGGCGGCGACCUGGUCCGAGACUGACGCUGAGGCGCGAAGCGUGG
rnacentral:rRNA from 1 species